CGGGGCCUACGGGGCGCAGCAGUGGGGAAUAUUGCACAAUGGGGGAAACCCUGAUGCAGCGACGCCGCGUGAGUGAAGAAGUAUUUCGGUAUGUAAAGCUCUAUCAGCAGGGAAGAAGAAAGACGGUACCUGACUAAGAAGCCCCGGCUAACUACGUGCCAGCAGCCGCGGUAAUACGUAGGGGGCAAGCGUUAUCCGGAUUUACUGGGUGUAAAGGGAGCGUAGACAGCCAGACAAGUCAGAAGUGAAAGCCCAGGGCUCAACCCUGGGACUGCUUUUGAAACUGCCGGGCUGGAGUGCAGGAG
rnacentral:rRNA from 1 species